rnacentral:rRNA from 1 species
UCGAGCGGUAACAGGAAUUAGCUUGCUAAUUUGCUGACGAGCGGCGGACGGGUGAGUAACGCGUAGGAAUCUGCCUGGUAGUGGGGGACAACAUGUGGAAACGCAUGCUAAUACCGCAUACGCCCUACGGGGGAAAGGAGGGGAUCUUCGGACCUUUCGCUAUCAGAUGAGCCUGCGUGAGAUUAGCUAGUUGGUGGGGUAAAGGCUCACCAAGGCGACGAUCUCUAGCUGGUCUGAGAGGAUGAUCAGCCACACUGGGACUGAGACACGGCCCAG